rnacentral:rRNA from 1 species
GCCGCGGUAAUACGUAGGUGGCAAGCGUUAUCCGGAAUUAUUGGGCGUAAAGCGCGCGCAGGUGGUUUCUUAAGUCUGAUGUGAAAGCCCACGGCUCAACCGUGGAGGGUCAUUGGAAACUGGGAGACUUGAGUGCAGAAGAGGAAAGUGGAAUUCCAUGUGUAGCGGUGAAAUGCGUAGAGAUAUGGAGGAACACCAGUGGCGAAGGCGACUUUCUGGUCUGUAACUGACACUGAGGCGCGAAAGCGUGGGGAGCAAACAGGAUUAGAUACCCUGGUAGUCCACGCCGUAAACGAUGAGUGCUAAGUGUUAGAGGGUUUCCGCCCUUUAGUGCUGAAGUUAACGCAUUAAGCACUCCGCCUGGGGAGUACGGCCGCAAGGCUGAAACUCAAAGGAAUUGACGGGGGCCCGCACAAGCGGUGAGCAUGUGGUUUUAAUUUCGAAGCAACGCGAAGAACCCUUACCAGGUCUUGACAUCCUCUGACCACCUUAGAGAAAGGUUUUCCCUUUGGGGAGCAGAUUGACAGGGGGUGCAUGGUUUUCUUCAGCUGGUGUGGUGAGAUGUGGGGUUAAUUCCCGCAAGGAGGGCAACCUUUGUUUUUAGUUGCCACCAUUAAGUGGGCCAUUUUAAGGUGACUCCGGGUGAAAAACGGGAGGAAGGUGGGGAGGACGUAAAUUCUUCAUGCCCUUUAUGCCUUGGGUUACACACGUGUUCCAAUGGAGGGUACAAAGAGUUGCAGGACCGGGAGGGGGAGUUAUUUUCAAAAACCCGUUUUCAGUUCGGAUUGUAGGUUGCAAUUGGCUUCCAGGAAGCGGGAAUGGUUAGUAAUCGGGGAUCACCAUGCCGCGGGGAAUACGUUCCCGGCCCUUGUCCACACCGCCCGUCCCACCAGGAGAGUUGGUACCACCGGAAGUCGGUGGGGUACCUUUUGGAGCCAGCCGCCGAAGUGACAGUUGG